rnacentral:lncRNA from 1 species
GCUCAAAAGAUAACGUGGAGGAGCAGUUUCCAAAAAAAGCAGAAGAAGGUGACGCAGGCUUGAAGGAACCUGAAGAAGAUAGCAAGGAGCCUGUCAGUAUCAUUGAUAUUUCUCCUGAAGAGAAGGGUCUGGAAACCAUCUUAACAGAUGAAACAACCCAAGAUGCUGAAGACACUGAUGCAAAAGCAGGUGAAUGUAUCAACUCAAAAGAAAGUAAGACUGAAAGUUGCUCGACGGAACCCCAAGAAGAAAACAAGGAGAAAGUUUCAUAUACUGACAAUCCUCCUGAAGAGAAAAUUGAAAACUUACAAGAGCAGUUGGAGGAGCAGGUCCAAGUUGUAGCAGAUGAAGGUUACACAUGCUUGAAUGAAGCCGAAGAAGAAAACAAGCAGAAUAUCAAAAGCAAAGAAACCUCUCCCGAAGAGAAGGGUCUACCAAUCAUCUCAACAGAUGGAACGGCAUUGGAUGGUGAUGAAACUGAGUUACAAUCAGAGGAAAAUGUCAGCUCAACAGAUGACUUGGAGAAGCACAUUCCAACUCCAGCAGAUGAAGCUGAACGCGGCGGCUUGACAGAAGCUGAAUCAGAAUACAAGGACGAGGUCACCAUUACUGAUAUUACUCCUGAAGUGGAUAGUGUACCGACAAUCUUCACAGAUCAAACAGCCUUGGAAAGUGAAGAAAUUGAGUUGUGUGCAGAGGAAAAUGUCAUCUUAACAGAUAACUUGGAGAAGGAAUUACCAACAGCAGAUGAAGGUGAAGAUAUCUUGACGGAAGACAAAGCAGAAAGCAAGGAGCAGGUCACCAUUACUGAUGUUACUCCUGAAGUGAAGGGUGUAGCAACCAUCUUAACAGAUGAAAGAUCCUUGGAAACUGAGGAUACCAAUGUACAAGCAAAGGAAUCUGCCAACUCAAAUGAGAAUUUGGAGGAGGAGAUUACAGCAGCACUAGAAUUGGGUGACACAUGCUUGAAGAAGGAAAACGAAGAGGAAAACAAGGAGCAGGUUGAAAGCAGCUCUCAUGAAGAGAAGGGUCUGGCAACCAUCUUAACAGAAGAAAUGAGCCAAGAUCUUGAAUAUACUGAUGCAAGUGAAAAUUUCAACUCAGAAGAAAUCUUGGAGAAGCAGAUUCCAACAGCUGCAUAUGAAGGUGAAACAGACUUGAAGGAAGUAGAAGCAGAGAACAAGGAGCAGGUAGAAACUACUGAGAUAGCUACUGAAGAGAAAGGUUUGCCUACCAUCUUAGUCGAUGAAAGCAAAGAAACCUCUCCCGAAGAGAAGGGUCUACUAAUCAUCUCAACAGAUGGAACGGCAUUGGAUAGUGAUGAAACUGAGUUACAAUCAGAGGAAAAUGUCAGCUCAACA